rnacentral:rRNA from 1 species
GAUGAACGCUGGCGGCGUGCUUAACACGUGCAAGUCGAACGGAAAGGCUCCUGCUUGCAGGGGUACUCGAGUGGCGAACGGGUGAGUAACACGUGGGUGAUCUGCCCUGCACUUCGGGAUAAGCCUGGGAAACUGGGUCUAAUACCGGAUAGGACGAUGGUUUGGAUGCCAUUGUGGAAAGUUUUUCGGUGUGGGAUGAGCUCGCGGCCUAUCAGCUUGUUGGUGGGGUAAUGGCCUACCAAGGCGUCGACGGGUAGCCGGCCUGAGAGGGUGUACGGCCACAUUGGGACUGAGAUACGGCCCAGAAUCCUACGGGAGGCAGCAGUGGGGAAUAUUGCACAAUGGGCGCAAGCCUGAUGAAGCGACGCCGCGUGGGGGAUGACGGCCUUCGGGUUGUAAACUCCUUUCGCUAGGGACGAAGCGCAAGUGACGGUACCUGGAGAAGAAGCACCGGCUAACUACGUG